rnacentral:lncRNA from 1 species
CUAUCAUGUUAACAGGUGAGACAGAAGUAAUCCAGACGCUGUGGCAAGGUACAGUGUCAACACACAAUUAUUCACUUACUGUGGCCAAUGUACCUGUACCUGUUUGAAUAUGUUGAAUUAGAAUAUGUUCAAAUAGGGAAACAUCAAAGGUAGUGGCCGAGUAUUUCUUCAACUGCUUAUGGUAGUCAGAGUGAAUACUCAAUGCUUGUUAGUGCAGGUGCCUCUGGUUUUCCAGCGCAGGGUGUUUUUUCAGUUACACAUCCUGCUAAAAUUAGUGAAUUUAAAUAAACUCUCAGAUCUUUUGGCCGGGCAUUACUGUGCCAACAUUGUAGCUGGAGUGGGCAAAUAUGGCCACCACUUUGGAGAGUUUUCUCUCUUUCUUUCUAGACUGUGGAAUUAUCUUUUCUUCAUAUUUGCUUUUUGUGACUGUUCAUUUCUUUCAGAUGGCCAAUAUCUACACCCUACUUGAAAAACACAGACUGGAAAGAUUUUACAAAAAAUUCCUUGAUUUAGGAGUGAAGGACGAGAGGGACUUCCUUGAUGGAAUCUCUGAUGAAGACUUAAACAAUAUUGGGUUGUCUCAAGUGGAGAAGAACCGGUUUAAAACAAUGCUGGAUGUUAUUAAGAGGCUUGGAAAAGGUGAUGGUCCACUCAUGCAUGCAAUGGAUGUCAAAAAGUCACUGGCAGGAUGUAAUCUGUUCUACUCAUUCCCCAAAUGCCCUGAGCCCAGAGAAUUAAGAGACUUGGAUGCUGCACAAAAUACUGUGGAAGAUCUUUUGCUCCGAAUCAGUUAUCAGGAGGAGAUUGGUAAUAGUAUGGGUGUAUGCCUUUUCACUGCCGAGGGAAUGCCACUCACCGACGAUCCCUUUUUCAAUACAUGGUCAUUAAAUGACAGACACAUAGAGAAAUGGAAUCACCUCUAUGCCAUAUUCACACCCAAAGAGAAUCUUCCAACACGGCAACCAACAACUCAGGCAGCCUGGGACAACACUGGGAUGGACACUGUGCGAUGUCACAUUAUGUUGAAGGGUAACUAUGAAAUCAAAGUCGACCUGGAAAGCCAUUCAGUGGUUGAUCUGAAGAAAGGCCUGGCUCAUGCAAGUGGAAUUCCAUCAAAUGUGCUGCAUUCAUGGGAUCUACCAGUGAAUUUGAACCCUUUGAAAGAUAAUGGGAUAAAUGAGGACUCCCUGGUGCAUUUUUUCCUGUCCUCAUUUGGUCAGGAGUCCGAAAGUUGUCCAAGUUUCGAUGUUUUUUUCAUGGCUGAUAUCAAGCCCUCCGUGCAGCAGACACCAAAGGGCAUGAGUGUCUUUUUUUCAACUUUAUACUCCACCGUAAGUAUUGUAUUGUUUCUUUAUAAUAUAUAUUUUAUAAUAUAUAGUAAAGAGUUUCACUUUUUUAGUUUAUAUGUUGAUUUCACUGGUAAUAUGCUAAACCAUAUAUCACCUGCGUUUGCAGAGAAUGGAAAAGCAAGGAGAAGGAUUCAAAAAUGUAGUGGCUUAUAUUCGCAAACUCACUGGAUGUCACCCCCUAGCUCAGAUUUUGCAUCAGGUGAUGUGCAGGAAUGAGGUUGGGACCAACGUACAGAAGGUAAUGAAAUAACCGAGGAAUGCUUUCUGUGAAUAUUUUGUAUUGGGUAUCACAAAAGGUCAUACUGGAGGGAAGUUGUUUAAAAAGCAGUUUUAUUGUUUAAUGCGGAACAAAUCCAAUUGCAACAUCUAUCUUGUCCAUUUGAAAUCAUUGAAAGGCAAAUAUGGAUGCAUACCCAUCUGGUAAUAACGUAGGAUUUCACUGAUUUUAAGAACAGAUUAGGGUAAAGCAUAGCGAUACACAUUGUACAAAAUAUGGGGGUCAAUUCAUACCACCUACUGUCUCGUUAAGGACAAAUACUGUAUUACACAGACAGAUACACUUGUUACCAGAACUCUGUGAUUGUGAUAAUUAACACAUUUUAAUCAUCUAGGCCUACUCUCAUACAGUCAUAAUUUUUGCAAAUGCAAUCGGCAACUGGACUUUAUUUCAUAAAUUGAUACCAAUUACUUGGUUUGUUUUAUACGGGAUAGGUAUAUUUAUUGUCUUUUUUCAUUUUGUCAUCUAUUUUG